GGGUCAGUAGGUUGGUCAUGCCACUGGUAUGUACUGGUCUCACUGAUUCCUCCUUCCUGAUGAGCUGUAAUGCCAUUAAUUUGGUGUUGCGGGGAAUCUGGACUGUUACUUUGAAAAAAUUAGAGUGUUUAAAGCAGGCUAACGUCUGAAUACAUUAGCAUGGAAUAAUGAAGUAGGACGAUUGAUCCUAUUUUUGUUGGUUUCUAGGAUUGACGUA
rnacentral:rRNA from 1 species